rnacentral:ncRNA from 1 species
UUAAAGUUUGAUUCUAGCUUGAAAUAAUUCUAAAAAAAGAGCUUACUAUGCAAAUUCAAUUGAAAAUUAUCUAUAAUUUAUAUUAUAAUGAAGGCGCAGUACUUAAAAUUGUUUUACUUAAAUUAAGAUUCAGUUAUCAUUUUAAUGAUUGAUUAAAUUUGUGCCAGCAGUCGCGGUCAUACAAGAAUUCAGGGAAUUUCUGUUCGGUGAAAUUAAAUUUUUUUUUUUAAUAUAGGAGCUAUAGGUUUUAUUAGGGGUAGAAUCUUAAGGCCUAUAUUAAAUAAAGUAAAUUCAUUUCUAUUAAACAUAAAGACCUGGAUUAGAUACCCAGUUAUUAAUUAGUAGUUUUUACCAUGGUAGUAGUUGGGAAACCUAAAGAAUUUGGCGGUGAACUAUCCUGAUAGGGGAACUUGUCUCUUGAUUGAUAAUCCCCAAAGAUCUUACUCWUUUUUUAUUUAUAUAUCGUUGUUUAGAUAUAAAUCUAAUUUUUUGUCUUUAAUUUUAUUCAAGAAAAUUAAAUCAAAUCAAGGUUUAGUUAUGAAGGAGGUGGGAUGAGUUACAGUUACUUAAGUUUUGGAUUGAUAAUGAAUUGACUCAUAAAAGAGGACUUAUAAGUAAUAUUUAAAUAAAAUUAAUAUAUUAUGAAAAGGCUCUAGUUUAUGUACAAAUCGCCCGUCACUCUCGUUAUUUUAUGAGAUAAGUCGUAACAAAGUGGAUUUACUGGAAAGUGCUUCUAGAUAGGC